GGGCUCGUAGCUUAGGUUGGUUGGAGCACCCGGCUGAUAACCGGGAGGUCGAGAGUUCAAAUCUCUCCGAGCCCA
rnacentral:tRNA from 1 species